GGAAGGAAUUAUCCAAAAAAAAAAAAAAAAAGUAAUGGUGGUUUCUUUACGCGUCACUAUAGUGUUCAAGUAUGCAAUUAUAUAUAGUUGUCUACUUGAAUGAAAAAUAUUAUAGGCAAGCAACAAAUAGGAAGAAAGCGGUGCAAUAGAUCAACAAAAAUGGAACAUAUUGGAGAACCUGAGAAGCUUGUAGAGAGCAUCACUUACAUGGACGCUCCUUUGUUUUAAGGCUGCAGCAGAAGGCAAAAUUGAAGAGUUUGAUAAUUGCCAGGGGCUUGACCUUGAGUCACUAAAGACCCCAAACUAUGACAAUGUGCUCCAUGUUAACUUGGCAAACAGCGUGCGUACUGCGAGUGCAUGGUCUUUUAAAUCAAGGUCCAGACGCAGUAACAGAUCAGAUUUUGUCAAAAAAAUUCUUGGCAAGUGUCACCUGCCGCAUAUAUGGUUGUAGUGAUGAUAACUAAAUUCAUAAAAUAAUAUAAUGAGUUUCAUCUGCUACAAUUCGUUGUAGCAAAUUAAGUUCUUUUUUGUAAUUAAUAAGUUUAUUUUCGAGUAAUUUGAUUACAUUUCGUUUAA